UAUGUGUGUGUGUGUGCGUGUGUGUGUUAAGAAAUAGCGGAAGUUCUUGGAACACCCAGCAGGCAUGGGAUAUCAGCUAGAACUGCUUGUCUAUGUUGUGUCACCGGCAUACAUGCCUGCUUGCGUUUUGCCUGACUCUCGCCUUCAUAUAGUCUACUUACCGUGUUGGAUGGACGCUCAUUAUAACUUUUCAAAACAGAUACUAGCUUCAACACGCAGGACAAUUUUCUAAAGCUUCACGAAUAUAGCAGUAAUACAGAGUGCCAAACCAGGGAGUAAAAAUAUUAUACAUAUAUAUAUAUAUAUAUAAAUACAUUACUUUCACACCCGUAUGUACGAUAUAUAGAUAAAUAUAUUUUUAUAAAUUAUAUUUAUUUAUAUACCUGGCAGUGAGAAAGAACCUGAGUGAUAACUAACAAACGUAAAAAAUCUAGUGGUGAUCCCCAGAUGUCGUUCACGGAAUGAGCUGUUAUUCUGGUGCAGAGAUUACAAAAAACAGUGCUGUAUGAAAUAUAUAUGUGAAAGAGUGGAUUUGUUUUCCAAAGUAUAGUGUGCAGUCUUCCUUUUGUGAUAUUGUGACUCCAUUACAUCCAAAGAUGUUUUAUUUCGCAAACUAUUGCAUGAUUCUAUUUGAUAAGUCCGAUGUUAGAUAAACAAUAAUAUCAUUUUAUUUUUACGUUAGGUAUUUAUGUGUAUAUAGGAUAUGUUACUGAAUUUUGUCAAGUAGUUUCAUUUGUUUCCAUAAUUCUGUUAUUUGAGUUCUAUACUAUGAAUGUUCCUAAUGUGUCCACAUGUGCACUUUUAAACUCCUGAUUUAUUUCUUCAAUACUAUUCCUUCUGUACAUUACAAGGCAUAAAUCUAAAGAGCUAUAAAACACUUUUGUUUUUCUGUCAGUUGAUGCACUAGAAAUUCACAACAAUAGGUGUUUGUGCUUAUUAAAUAUGUGUAUGUUCUUAUGUACGUUUGUAUACAUUUAGUGUGUGGUUGCAAACAAAACAUCUGUAUAAAAUCAUCAAUAUCUUGUGACAUUAAUAACGCAGAAGAAUUUUGCUGAGAGCAGUAAUGUCAGCCAGAAAAUAAGACAAUGGACAAAAUCAGCAAGAACGUAGAAAUGUUUGAUAAGAAAUGUUUGAAAGGAUUGAGAGAAUGAUGGAAACGAAAAUUUAAAAAUAAAAUCUCAUGGAAGUCGACACACCAUAUACUCUUCUGUUACUAAUUAUAUUUCUAAAAUAAAAUUUCUGUAAUAAAAAAAAAUACCCAUACUA